rnacentral:rRNA from 1 species
GUGGGGAAUAUUGGACAAUGGGCGAAAGCCUGAUCCAGCCAUGCCGCGUGUGUGAAGAAGGUCUUCGGAUUGUAAAGCACUUUAAGUUGGGAGGAAGGGCAGUAAGUUAAUACCUUGCUGUUUUGACGUUACCGACAGAAUAAGCACCGGCUAACUUCGUGCCAGCAGCCGCGGUAAUACGAAGGGUGCAAGCGUUAAUCGGAAUUACUGGGCGUAAAGCGCGCGUAGGUGGUUUUGUAAGUUGGAGGUGAAAUCCCCGGGCUCAACCUGGGAACUUCCUCCAAAACUGCAUGACUAGAGUACGGUAGAGGGUAGUGGAAUUUCCUGUGUAGCGGUGAAAUGCGUAGAUAUAGGAAGGAACACCAGUGGCGAAGGCGACUACCUGGACUGAUACUGACACUGAGGUGCGAAAGCGUGGGGAGCAAACAGGAUUAGAUACCCGAGUAGUCC